ACAGAUUUGUAAGAACCUGUUUGCAGACCUGUAACAACUUGUGUAUUUUUACGUGCAUAGGGCUCAUCUACACAUGUAAAAAUGCACAAGUUGUUACAGGUCUGCAAACAAGUUGUUACAAAUUUGU